rnacentral:sRNA from 1 species
AGGGCUCCACAGUCGUUCCGCCACCUCCCAGUCGGGUUGCGGCGGAGGCCGUUCCUGGCUUUGUAGCUCGCUCAAGAUGGCGGCGCAGCCACCCCGCGGGAUACGCCUCAGCGCGCUUUGCCCGAAGUUUUUACAUACAAAUUCUACUAGUCACACCUGGCCAUUCAGUGCAGUUGCUGAAUUAAUAGAUAAUGCUUAUGAUCCUGAUGUGAACGCUAAACAAAUAUGGAUUGACAAAACAGUGAUAAAUGACCAUAUAUGCUUGACAUUCACCGACAAUGGGAAUGGUAUGACUUCUGAUAAAUUACAUAAAAUGCUAAGCUUUGGCUUCAGUGACAAAGUCACCAUGAAUGGUCAUGUCCCAGUUGGAUUAUAUGGGAAUGGCUUCAAGUCGGGUUCUAUGCGUCUGGGUAAAGACGCAAUCGUUUUUACCAAAAAUGGAGAAAGCAUGAGCGUGGGCCUUUUGUCUCAGACCUACUUGGAAGUCAUAAAAGCGGAGCAUGUUGUUGUUCCAAUAGUGGCAUUCAACAAGCACCGACAGAUGAUUAAUUUAGCAGAAUCAAAAGCCAGCCUUGCUGCAAUUCUGGAACAUUCUCUGUUUUCCACGGAACAGAAGUUACUGGCAGAACUUGAUGCUAUUAUAGGCAAGAAGGGGACGAGGAUCAUCAUUUGGAAUCUUAGAAGGUAAAUGUGGACGUAGAUGUUGACCGUUUGGGAAGUAAAGUGCAUGUGCAGGGUGGUGGUGUUAUAUUCAUCUCUCGUUACACAUGGUAGAAAUACAUGGAAAGGUACUCAUUUUUUGGUGUAGUUACUGAUUUGUCUUUGCCCAGGAUAUGUUAUAGAGGCCAUUUCAGCUUCAAUUUGAGAUAUUUUCAUCUUGUUAAAAAAAAUUUUCCUUUUUUUUUUUUUUUUUUUGAGACAAAGUCUCACUCUUGUUCCCCAGGCUGGAGUGCGAUGGCGCAAUCUCAGCUGACUACAACCUCCGCCUCCUAGGUUUAAGCGAUUCUCCUGCUUCAGUCCCCCGAGUAGCUGGGAUUACAGGCAUCUGCCACCACGCCCGGCUAAUUUUUGUAUUUUAGUUGAGACAGGGUUUCACCAUGUUGGCCAGGCUGGUCUAGAACUCCUGACCUCAGGUGAUCCACCCGCCUUGGCCUCCCAAAGUGCUGGGAUUACAGGCGUGAGCCACUACACCCGGCCAAAAAAAAACAAUUUUUCUAUCCCUGCCAUUCAGUCUCCAUUAGCACUCUAUUCUCUCUCAUUUAUUCCACCCCCCUUCUCAAAAAAAAAAAAAAAAAGAAAAA